rnacentral:lncRNA from 1 species
CAAUAAUGAGACAAAAUGCAGACUUUUCUUUUGUAAGAAUUCCCAUAAAUUAUACAGCUAUUCACCUUCAUAACAGGUCAUUGCCUCUUUUUAAGUGUGUUUUCUCUCUAAUAGGCAAGGUGAAAUCAGUCCAUCUUAAAGAGCCUUAUUGUAUCUCCUUACCCCCCUGACUGUUUGCCUUCGGCCUUGUCCUCUGUAACUGCCCUGGUGUAGAGGAGAGAUGGGGAGGUCUGGGCAGAGGCUGUCAGCAAGGAGGUUUCAGCUGGAUUGAGAGCGCCUUUUAUGAGCCGUGCAUUGAUUAGGGAAGAGCAGAGGACUUGCCUUGUACUGAGCUUCAUGAUAGUGCAGAUGCUAUCCUAGGUGCCCGGUUCACCUUCUCAUCUCAGCCUCAUAAUGGUUCUGCAAUUUAGAACUGAAAAAUCCCCCAGUGAUAAAAUUGGAGGUAAAGAAAACCAUUUGAUCAUCAGAGAAUCAGAUACGGAUGUGAACUGUGGUUGGUUGCUGAGGAGUUACUUGGAGAAGAUGGGAGAGGCUUUGGGAGAGGAGUAGGAAAGAGGAAGCAGCCCGGUGUGUGGAGAGACAUUGAGAGACAUUGGACUUCAUACCAAACCUGGGGUUAAGAUCCUGUCUUCACUUUGUAGCCAUGUGACUUGGGCAGUCGUGAGUUCCCUAAGGCUCAGCGUUCUUAUCUUUAAAAUGCAGAUAAUAAUUCUUACUCUCAAAUGAGGCCUUGAACAUGGGCCAGCUUAUAAAGUGCUAGUCAGGUCUUCCUCGUAUUUCGUGUUCUCCUCUUCAGCCCCACACGGUGAGACUCUGUCCCUGUCCUUCCCUUUGCUUCUAUCGCUGUUUUUGCUCUGUGUCCCCACCCCCAUUCCGACACUCUUCAAGUCACAUCCUGCUUCAGGUCGAGCCGAGAGGCGGUGGCCUCUGCCAGGCCUCUCUGACUGCUCCACGUGGAGGCCGUCUCGUUCCCUUUGCUGUUUCCAUGUUGCCUUCUGUGAUUAUUGAAGCGGCCGUUGCAAGUGGCCCAACCUGGCACAUUGACACCUCCUGGUGGCCAGUUUGAAUGAUUGCCAGGGAAACUGACCAGAUCAGAGGGGGUAGCACCAUCCAGGUUUGGUUACAUUUUCUAAAUAUCCAGGAUCAAAGGGGAAGCAAAGUUACAUAGUGGAAAGAUUCUGGGCUUUGAAGUAAGAGAUACUCAGGUGGCUCUUGAGCAAGUCGUUUUAUCUUUGAGUUAAUCUAAAAACGGGGAUAAGAAGUUCCUGUUGUGGCUCAGUGAGAACAAACCCAACUAGUAUCCAUGAGGACAAAGGAUCAAUCCCUGGCCUCUCUCAGUGGGUUAAGGAUCCAGCAUUGCCUGAGCUGUGGCAUAGGUUGCAGACGUGGCUUGGAUCUGGCGUUGCUGUGGCUGUGGUGUAGGGCAGCAGCUGUAGCUCCAAUUCGACCCCUAGGCCUGGGAACUUCCAUAUGCUGCGGAUGCGGCCCUAAAAGGACAGAAAAAAAUAAAAAAUUUUAAAGUUUAGUGUAAAAACAAUAAAAAUUAAAACUAUUCCAUAAGAAACUUGAAGACAAUAUGAAUGCUGUAGUCUGUCUUUAGUUGAUGAAGCACUUUCUAAGCAUAGAAAAAUAGGAAGUAUCACAGAAGGAAGGGUGGAAAACUUAGAUUUGAUUCUGUAAAAAAAUCUGUGAUUUGGUUCAUGAAAACAUAGUUAAAAGGCAAUUUGAGGGAAGUGUAAUAAAAAGAUUACUAUAUGUAACACAAUGAUCUCUUAGAAUCAGUUCUUAAAUGUACUGUUUUCUUUUGCAUAAUAUUUGGUUGGAUUUUAUCAGCUAAUUGAUCAGUUGAGAUACAAAUUGUAAUAAAUAUCUUUUUUUUUGUUGUUGUUGUUGUUACCCCUAGCCUGGGAACCUCCAUAUGCCGAGGAUGCGGCCCUAGAAAAGACAGAAAGACGAAAAAAAUAAAAUAAAAAAAUAAAAACCAUUUAAGCAUACAGAAAUUAAUUAGGAAGGAGAUAAACAAAAUGUUAACAUUAACUACAAAAUGUUAAAAAUUGUUUUACCUCUCUUGUGCCUUCAUGAAGGAACCACAUGGGAACAAAGAGCUGCUUAGGUAUGUUUUUCAUAAUGGCCCUUGUAGUCAGUGUUUGACUGAGAUGUACAUCGGGGAAAUCUCCCAUGACUGUAGAAAUGUCUAGUCCUGGAAAGAAAGGGCCGCCAGGAGCUUAGACAAAGGGAAAACACUGAUAAUGCUCAAGCCUGGACUCUCAUUUACAUCAGAGCUUAGAGAAUUAACCAGGAAUAGGGAUUUUGAGCAGAAGGCAGCUGGGCUGGAUUUGCUUACCUGCCCAGUGAGUGAAUGAGGAGGCUGGAGCUUGCUGUCUGCUUCUCUGGGCAGAGUAGCAGCAUGAAGAUACUGCCAGACAAUGACAGAGAUGCUUUUAAAUAGACCUCGCUUCUCUCAAAUGUAAGCUCAAUCAGAGGGGACUGCUUUUCUUGCUCCUUGUGUUUCCUUUUAUAGUUGGGUACCACAUGGGAAGCACUGAAUAAGUAUUUGUCAAAUGAACGAAUAAGUCAGCUAGGCAGAGCUAAGGCUGGGCAAGCUUUUUUCCCCUGUGAUUUGGCUGGACUCAGGUAAAAACCCACAGGUCUAAUAUUCAUGUUUCAGUGUGGUUAACAGUCUCUCUUCCCUACUUAAGGUCAGGACCUUUGUCUUUUUUCAUCUUUGGAUGCUCUCAGGUAUAAAUAGAGCUUAGAGUGGUACCAACCAUAUACCUAGAGUUGUACCGAACAAGUAUUUUUUUAAAAUUAUAUCUUAUCUUUCAGAUUAAAUAUUGGGAAUCUUUGUUAGGGCUUUAAUCUUUGGUGAAAAGUAGAAGGGAAAGUAUCAAGAUCAAAGUUUAGAUGGUUUCUGUCAUUUUCUGUCUGAUCUGCUUUCUCUGUUUAAGGAUCUGGAGUUGUAUUUUACCUGGGCUAAAUUGCUCUUUUUUCUUACUGAGUUUAUGGACAUGGAGGAGGCAAAAGAAUCAAAAUUAAAGGUGACCAGUGUGCUUUUCUUUUCUUGACAUGUUUGGGAAAGACCGUGAAGGGCAUUCUGUUGAUAUUUUUCUAGCCCAGGAUUUCACAGGGUCACAUGGUGGCAUAGUUAGUGGCCACUGGCCCCAGAUCACCAGCAACAUGGAGUUCAGGAUUCUGUUCCUCUGCUGACUCAGAGGACCUGGGAGCCAAGGCUAAGCCAAGGGAGGAGAACGUUGAGGGUCUCUAAAUGUUUAAUUUUGCCAUUAAGCUUAUGUGUUGGUUGGAGAAGGAAAAUUGCAAACAUGGUAAAUAACCCAAAUACCUUACCUAAGUUGGAAAAAAAGAAAACUGUUUCAGGUAGAGACAGUAAAAUACAUGAGAUUUGCAGUUGAAAAUGAAAGAGACUUGAAAUUUCAUUCUGCCCUCCUAAACUACUGUGAAUGAACCAUGUCCCUUUGUUGUAAGUCCUAAACGGUUAACUGCCACAUGAAUCGAACAAAAUUGUCAGGUUAUAGUAAUUACAUCAGUAAUUUGAUCUGCUGUCAUUUGAAUGGAGCCAUGUGUGGAGAGUUGGUUACUUCCCUCUGUGGGGCUGACCCUUUUGCAUUCCUGGGAGAUGAAGACUAAUAGAGCUCAUUAAGCUUUAUGGGGAAAGAGCUUUUAUCACCUCGUCAAGUCAGGCAACAUAUUUCCAUUCUAGUCCUAAUUUCGCGUGGCUCUGUAGCUGCUGAUGUGCAUGUGCCUGCGAGGUUUCCAUGAGAUCGCUCCCUCACAGACAUUUUUAUUGACGUUUCUAAGUCGGAAUUACAUUUUGCGUGGCACCACCUACACAUGUCUUCAAUUAGAUGUAGGUAAAUAAAAGGGAUUAUGUAUCAGAGGCUCAAAGAUUCUUGAAAUUCUCAAAGUCAGAUGUUGCCGGCCAUCCAGGAGGGUGCAGUCUCCUCCUCAUCUUGGAGGUAGAGAACCACAGGAGAGGCAUUUGUCAGAGAAGUCAAGCCGUGUGGGAAUGUGGGUCGCUUAGGAUUCUCUUCAAGGAUGUCCUGUUCCUUCAUUCCAGAUCAAUUAAAAUCUUCAUUAGCACUUACCAUGAUAAUUUCUCAAGAAAUUAGCACCUAUAGAACAUGGGUGUGCAUUGCUUAACUCUGCUUCCAUUAUUUUGAUUUUCACAGAAUGUCUAUGAAAAUAACAGAAUGGUUAUUGCCAGUGUCGUUAUGAAGAAAGUUGAGCCUACAGAGGUGGUUGAGUUCCGUAUCAUAGCUGCUAGUAUGUGACAGCAGUAUGCUGUGCGAGUCUCUUACAUGAACCGAUGCCAUUUGAAGGAAGAUGGUGAUAAAUUUGAGGUGUGCCAACCUUGGCACAGUUAAUUUGGGGUUGGAGAGAUCUUUUUUUGUGGGCGCUGUCUUAUGCAUCAUGUGAUGCUUAGCAACAUCUCUGACCUCUACCCAAGAGAUGCCAGUCACACCCUUUCCCCUGAGUUGAAACAAAAGGUCUCCAGAUUUUGCCAGCUAUCCCUAGAGGGUAAAACAGCUCCCUGUUAAAAACUACUGCCCUUGAGCAGCCUUAACAAUAAUCCAGUAGUGAUGAGAGUAGCAAUGAUAACACAUUUUCAACCUCAUAGAAGGUGGGAAAAAGGAAAGGUGGACCAAGAACAAAUGAGACAAAUAGAAAACAAAUAGUAAAAUUGUCCACUUAAGCCUGACCAAAUUGAUUAUUAUAUUACAUAUAAAUGUAUAUGUAAACCAAAAAUCUGCAGUAUGGAAAUAUUUUACAUCUAUGCUGUUAAAAACAUGCGUGUAGCUAGUGGUCAUAUAUAGCCACUGAGCUCUUUAUGAACUGAGUUUAAAUUUUUAAAAAUUUUAGUUGACUUAUGCAAUCACAUGUGGCCAGUGGCUGUCCUAUUGGGCAGCACAGGUCUAAACACUCCAGUUAAAAGUCAGAGAUUGUCAG